UUCAACACGUAAUGUCUAAUAGAGUAGUCUGUGUUAAUAAAUGAAGUUAGUUAGUAUCAGUUCGUAAUCCCUUUUUUUUUCUUUUUUUUGGUAACAAUGUUAAGAUUAAUUACCGAUUUUUCAAGUUUGAUACAGAAGAAUAGAGGAAACUAGAAGCAGAAAAAUUAAAAGAAACUAAACAGACACACAAUCUAAGACAUACAAUGACAGACACAAUAGACAACACAAGUAACCGAGACACAGCAGAAUCAGACUUUGACGCUUGCCACAAAAAAGAGAACAACAUUUAACACGAGAUCCUGAGCCCGGUAGUUUUAGUCUCCCCGAUGAUCAGGUCUUUAAGAUUUGGUUCACCAAAAACAGCUUGCGACACACCUCAAUCUACAACCAGCCCAGUCAGACCGCAAAACCCAUGGUCCA
rnacentral:lncRNA from 1 species